ACAAUAAUGGAGAUGAGAUCUUGGAAUCUGAACUUCUCUGGUGCAGUGUUACCCCCGUGCAAUGUAACAAACCAUGAAGCAGUUCUAAAGUACCCUGGAUGCACAGUCAGGGCCCCCGCAGUGUUGCCGCCGGGUGUCCAUGAGUCAGAGAAGCAGAGAUUUGUCGUGGAGGGAUUGUCUGGCAAGCAUUCGUCGGGCUGCUUCAGACAAGGAUGAGGAUCUGAAGGCCUACCGCACUUACCCACCUCAAGGCAACACUGGUCUAAGGCUUGAACAUGGCUUCACCCAGGCCAACUUCUGUAUCCUUGGUCACACUAACAGUGACGGCUGAGAAGAUGCAGUUCAAUACUCUGAGUCUUCCUAUCACUCAGCAAGAAUGCCCGGUGGGGCUUGGAAAACAACCUUAUUGCUCGGAUCACAGCCAGGUAGAGGGUGGUCUCCUGGGUGGAACCGUUCCUGCAAGGACAAGGUUUAUCAAGCAUCUACAAAGACAAUUCUCUUUCUCUCUUUUUUUCUUUUCUUUUCUUUUUUUAAGAAAGGAAAUGUUGGAGUCCUUGGAUCAAUUUUUCAAUGUCUUUGGAAGCUUUAGGUGUUUGUUUUUCCUAAGUAUAUUCUUUGGAAAGCCUGGAGAGGAAAGAAAAGUGGUCCAAUUGCACACAGAUGGUAAACCCACAGCUCCCAUCAACAGCAGCAAAGAAAUAAUCUUGACUCAAGCAGGCAAACUCUGAAAUAGGAAAUAAAGCCUUGUGAGAAUGAGGAAUGAAAGUCCCC
rnacentral:lncRNA from 1 species